GACGAACGCUGGCGGCGUGCCCAAUACAUGCAAGUCGAGCGAGACUCUUCGGAGUCUAGCGGCGGACGGGUGAGUAACACGUGGGCAACCUGCCUGUAAGACUGGGAUAACACCGGGAAACCGGUGCUAAUACCGGAUAAUCCUUUUCCUCUCAUGAGGAAAAGCUGAAAAUCGGUUUCGGCUGACACUUACAGAUGGGCCCGCGCGGCAUUAGCUAGUUGGUGAGGUAACGGCUCACCAAGGGGACGAUGCGUAGCCGACCUGAGAGGGUGAUCGGCCACACUGGGACUGAGACACGGCCCAGACUCCUACGGGAGGCAGCAGUAGGGAAUCUUCCACAAUGGACGAAAGUCUGAUGGAGCAACGCCGCGUGAGCGAUGAAGGCCUUCGGGUCGUAAAGCUCUGUUGUUAGGGAAGAACAAGUACCGGAGUAACUGCCGGUACCUUGACGGUACCUAACCAGAAAGCCACGGCUAACUACGUGCCAGCAGCCGCGGUAA
rnacentral:rRNA from 1 species